GAUGAACGCUGGCGGCGUGCUUAACACAUGCAAGUCGAACGGGAAACAUUUUAUUGAAGCUUCGGCAGAUUUAGUUUGUUUCUAGUGGCGGACGGGUGAGUAACGCGUGGGUAACCUGCCUCACACUGGGGGAUAACAGACCGAAAGGCCUGCUAAUACCGCAUGAUGCAGCUGGGUCGCAUGACUCUGGCUGCCAAAGAUUUAUCGCUCUGAGAUGGCCUCGCGUCUGAUUAGCUAGUUGGCGGGGUAACGGCCCACCAAGGCGACGAUCAGUAGCCGGACUGAGAGGUUGACCGGCCACAUUGGGACUGAGACACGGCCCAG
rnacentral:rRNA from 1 species